rnacentral:rRNA from 1 species
UACAGAGGUCCCAAGCGUUGUUCGGAUUCACUGGGCGUAAAGGGUGCGUAGGCGGUCGGGUAAGGCUGAUGUGAAAUCUCACAGCUUAACUGUGAAACUGCAUUGGAUACUAUCCGGCUAGAGGAAUGGAGGGGAGACUGGAAUACUUGGUGUAGCAGUGAAAUGCGUAGAUAUCAAGUGGAACACCAGUGGCGAAGGCGAGUCUCUGGACAUUUCCUGACGCUGAGGCACGAAAGCCAGGGGAGCAAACGGG